UUUAAUAUAGCAUAAUUUUCUAAUGCGGAAAGUUUAAGCCUUUCAGAUUUUUAUUAAA
rnacentral:tRNA from 1 species